rnacentral:lncRNA from 1 species
UGCAACAUACUGAAACCGUCACACUGCGCGCUUUUUUUUAUUUCUACGGAUCAGCGCCGACAGCAGCAGAGUAGAGCAGCAGUCCGCAGUAGCAGCAGCGCGUUUUCAACAUUGAUUUGUCCAGAUCACAGUUCAAACACUGUUGGAAAGAGUUCUUCUUUGCCACGCUUUGGUCCAGCUCUGCAGGGGCCUUCCCCUGACAAGGCCCUUAUGGGAUACAGCUGUGCAGGGGUGGGACUGGCACUGCUGGCUUCCUCUGGAAGGUUCAGGAACUUGCCAAUUCUAUCCCUUGAAUUGUUGGUGUGACACUGAUGCAGCAAGCAGGGAGGCAUUCGUGCCCCAAACUUUUUUGCUGAUAAUGCUCAAUUCUCUUAAGCUAAACUGUUCUUAGUGCAGCAGAAGUUCAUGUAACGCAAUGCACUAUUCCUUUCAUUUGCCAAAUAAUAAACACCAUCAAUUAAUACAAAUAUUCUUAGCCAUGAGCAUUUAAAUAAACUAGAAUAUCAACCUGUCAACUUCAUCAGGCU